CUAGGAUCAAGACGAAAAUCUAUUUCAAUUGCUCCACAUAACAUAGCCAACCAUCCUUGCCAAAAUAUGAAUAUAGGUAUAGAUAUAAAUAAGUAUAUAAUGUACUCUCCGCCAUCAUAGGACACACAGCCACUCAGAGAAGGAAUUAGCAGUUAAUAAAACAUCAAAUAUAUAGGCAAUCUUUAAUAUAUGAAUAAAUAACUGAAUUACUCACUAUAUUUAAAUGCGUAAAACUUUAGAAAUGAACUAAUUGACUAAACCCAUAUAAGAUCUCACAACUUUGAGUAAAUCAGCAACGGUAUAACCAUUCCUUACAACCAAUAGUUCUUUAAUGAACCAUGACAGCACAAACAGACAAAUAAUAUAUCUUGCCCACAAUGUCUAUAUAACUUUACACAAGCAUAAAAACCAAACAUUAUCACAGGAAGAAAGAGAGUAAUCGAGGGUCUUUAGCCGUGUAACGUAAUGGUGACAAUGUCUCUAAAGAUUUGCCAAAAAACCCAAGAAACACUGAAUAGCUUUAAUAUAAUUCUAAGGUCAAUAUUCAAUACUUUCAAAAUGGUCAGAUAUAGCUUUUCUAGGUGCAUACUAUCAUUAAUGAGUAAUUAAAUGUGAAGCGAAGUCUCACAUCGCUUGGGUUUGAAGUAAUGUGCAAUAUAUAAGUGUAAGGGUACCCUUUCCCCCUUCCUCAAUAACUAGCUUUUGGGUAAGUUCUAACCCAGUAUUGUAACAUGGUAUAGAGCGGGCACCUCCUAGGGAUGGUAUGGUGCGUGUCCUGGCCUGCCGUGGCAUGUGCUGCCGAGUGAGCCGCUGGGCGUGAGAGAGGGUGUGAAGUGUAGUCCCACAUCGCUUGGAGUUGAAAUAAUGUGCAAUAUAUAUAAGUGUAAGGGCACACCCUUUUCUCAAUAGCUAGCAUUUUGGGUAAGUCUACCCAAGUUUGUAACAAUAACGCUCAAGCCAGUGCAUACAUCAUCACUCACUAAUCAACAAACACAAAUUUUGGCAACACAUAGCUUUGCGCUGUCAUAUUAUAUAAAACAUAUCUAUAAUCAAAUAUUAUUCAUUUACAUCCCCCUUUAUAGAAUAUACAACAGUCCAACUUCAAACAAACAAUUUAGAAGACUCUUACUAACUUGAAAUACCUAAAAUGACAUUGCAAGCAUAAUCAAGCACCGGACUCGGAACUCUUGACUUUAACCCAGCAAAAUAGAAAGGAAAAGAUAACAGUAUAAAACAUCUUAAUACCCCAAGCUUGAACUAAAUGGAAUUUCAAUAAUGCAUGAUGAUAGUCAUGUAACUUUAGUUAGUCCAAGAUGAUCAAACCUCUCAAUAUAUUCGAAUCCCUAAUCACAAUCAAGAAUCCCUUGGCAAAAAACAGAACAAAUUAGCGAACAUACACCUGAAUUAAAUGAAUAAUGUUCCAGAGGCCAAAGCAUAUACACCAUUCCGUCACCAAUGACUAAACAAUUAACGAAACAAAGAUAUACAGCUUUUUAAAAUACAAAACCAUUACUAAACAAAGAACAUCAAUCACAUAUACCAGCAUCCAACUUCAAAAAUCCAGCCUCACAUAAAUGAUAAAACUAUAGUUAAAACGUGGUUUGUGAUGUGAAGUAUUAGAAGUGAAGAUCCUAUAACAGGCAACAAUGGCCCUCAGAUCUCAUAGCUUUGAACAAAUCAUCAACGGUUGAUAUCCAUUGUCAGUCAUCAAAUGCCUUUACAACCACCAGACCAUAGUAGCAUGAAGCAGGUGCGCGAACAGGAGCGGGGAGCGGAUGAUCAUAGAAGCGUGGGAGCGGAUGAUCACAAAAAUAUUAAAAUUAUAAUUUUUUUUAAUAUUUUUUUUAUAUAAUUUUUUUUAUGUUUUUAUAUAGUUAAUACCUACUAUUUUACUUAGCUUUCAAAAUACUAUUUCUAUUUAUUGUAAUGAGUUGUAUAUAUGGAUGAAUAUUUUUGAGAGCAAUUACAAAAAAAUGGGCCUGUUAGAAAUGGGUCCAAUCCAACAAACAGGUCCGCUGGAUUAAAAAAAAUAAUGGGCUUGUGAGAGCAAUUAUCACAAGCGGGCUGUUACAAAUGGGCCUGUUAGAAAUCUUUAAAAACUCAGUUUUGGGUCCAUUAAAAAAAAGAUGGGCUUGUGAGAGCAAUAUCAAGUCAAGUGGCAUGUUACAAAUGACCUUUAGAAAUGAGAACAAUAACACACGGUCCACGCCAAAUCUAUGACCUUAGGGCUUUACAAUCUCUUGCUCAUUCUCCUCUCAUUCAUCGCAUCGCAGCCAACCGAGAAACUCUAACGCAGCCGCUCCUUCUCUCUCCUCUCUUCACUCAUCCCGCAGCUUCGAAUACGCUGCUUUCAGCUCUUAGGUAACUGGUAAGCGCACGUACCCACCAAAUCCAUUUACUAGUUCCAUUGCAAUGAUUGUGACCAUUCUUCUUCUAUUCAUCCCAUAUUCACCAAAUCGCUUCGCCGUACUUCGACAGCCCUCCAGAGCUCCAAUAGAGA
rnacentral:lncRNA from 1 species